rnacentral:rRNA from 1 species
AUUGAACGCUGGCGGCAUGCUUUACACAUGCAAGUCGGACGAGCGGCGAACGGGUGAGUAAUGUAUUGGAACGUACCGAGUAAUGGGGGAUAACCACUCGAAAGAUUGGCUAAUACCGCAUAUUAUCAGAGCUGCCAAUAUCGGAUUAGCUAGUGGGUGGGGUAAAGGCUUACCAAGGCGACGAUCACUAGCGGGUCUGAGAGGAUGAUCCGCCACACUGGAACUGAGACACGGCCCAGACUCCUACGGGAGGCAGCAGUGGGGAAUUGUGGACAAUGGGCGCAAGCCUGAUCCAGCCAUGCCGCGUGUCUGAAGAAGGCCUUCGGGUUGUAAAGGACUUUUGUUGGGGAAGCGGUACUUACAGAAGAAGCACCGGCUAACUACGUGCCAGCCGCCGCGGUAAUUC